rnacentral:rRNA from 1 species
CAACAGGGAUUGCCUCAGUAACGGCGAGUGAAGCGGCAACAGCUCAAAUUUGAAAUCUGGCUCCUUCGGGGUCCGAGUUGUAAUUUGCAGAGGAUGCGUCGGGUACGGGUCCCUACCGAGUUCCCUGGAACGGGACGCCAUAGAGGGUGAGAGCCCCGUCUGGUAGGAUACCCAGCCCAUGUGACGCUCCCUCGACGAGUCGAGUAGUUUGGGAAUGCUGCUCUAACGGGAGGUAUACUCCUUCCAAAGCUAAAUACCGGCUGGAGACCGAUAGCGCACAAGUAGAGUGAUCGAAAGAUGAAAAGCACUUUGAAAAGAGAGUCAAACAGCACGUGAAAUUGUUAAAAGGGAAGCACUCGCUACCAGACUUGGGUUUGGCGGUUCAACCGGGGCCACGCCCCGGGGCAUUCCGCCAGCUCAGGCCAGCAUCAGCUUUCCGUCGGGGGCAAAGACGUCGGGAAUGUGGCUCCCCCUCGGGGGAGUGUUAUAGCCCGGCGUGUCAUACCCUUCGGGGGGCUGAGGUACGCGCUUCUGCAAGGAUGCUGGCGUAAUGGUAGCUAGUGACCCGUCUUGAAACACGGACCAAGGAGUCAACCUUAUGUGCGAGUGCCCGGGCGUAAAACCCCAGCGCGGAAUGAAAGUGAACGUAGGUGAGAGCUUCGGCGCAUCACCGACCGAUCCUGAUGUCCUCGGACGGAUUUGAGUGAGAGCAUAUAGGGUUGGACCCGAAAGAAGAUGAACUAUGCGUGUGUAGGGUGAAGCCAGAGGAAACUCUGGUGGAGGCUCGCAGCGGUUCUGACGUGCAAAUCGAUCGUCAAACAUGCGCAUGGGGGCGAAAGACUAAUCGA